rnacentral:lncRNA from 10 species
GUAGUGUCUUCCAGAAAUACUCUCACAGGCACACCCAGGACAAAUGUUCUACCAGCUAUCUGGGCGUUGCUUAGGCCAGUCAAGUUGACACAUAAAAUUAACCAACGAAGUAAUUCUAACAAAGAUUUAUAACCAGAUUACACUCUUCUGAAGCUAAAGAACUGCUAAUGGAGAUAGCAGUCAUCAGUUACUGUGAUAGUUAAUGUUGAGUGUCAACUUGAUUGGAUUGAAAAAUGUGAAGUAUUGUUUCUGGGUGUGUCAGUGAGGGUGCUGCCAAAAGAGAUUAACAUUUGAGUUAGUGGACUAAGAAAGGCAGACCCACUCUCAAUCUGGGUGGGCACCAUCUAAUCGGCUGCCAACAUGGCUAGGAUAAAAGCAGGCAGAGGAAUGUGGAAGGACUAAACUGGCAGAAUCUUCUGGCCUCCAUCUUUCCCCUGUGCUGGAUGCUUCCUGCCCUCAAACAUCGGACUCCCAAGUUCUUCAGCUUUUGGACUCUUGGACUUACAUCACUGAUUUGCCAGGGGCUCUGAGGCCUUUGGCCACAGGCUGAAGGCUGCACUAUCAGCUUCCCUACUUUUAAAGUUUUGGGACUUGGAAUUGCUUCCUGGCUCCUCAGCUUGCAGACAGCCUAUUGUGGGACUUCACCUUAUGAUCAUGUCUCAGCAGGACAGCUUAUCUCUGCUCCAUGUGGCCUAACUGGGGUUGGAUGACCCACCUCCAAGAUGGCUUACUUUCAUGAAUGAUGAAUAAGUGAGUGAGGAAGAAAGUGGCCCCAAAUGAAGUUGUUGUGGAAAUAGGCAGGGCUGGAUCAUUCACGGCCUUGCAGGUCAUGGUGAGGAGUUGAGAUUGAGUUGCCUUUAGAAAGGCCUUCAAUGGAUUGCACGAAGCCCAACCAUACUGGGGAAGGCAAUCUACUUCACUCAGUCUACACAAUAACUCCCUUCUUUUUCUGCUGAUUCAGAGGAAGCUAACUCUACAGCAGAAGCAGUGAGUCACAAGGACAAGAACCAAAUGAUAUGGACGACCCCAUCACAACAACUCAAGCUGGUGUAAACAUUCUCACAUGGCAUGAGAAUGAAACAUAAUGCAGUGCUCCCUCUCCCCAGACCUGGGUCACAUUCCUCUAUGGAUUAAAUGCAAUAGCAGUUAGGUUUUAAUUGCAUUCCUUUGAGCAAUGUCAUUUAUUUUACCUGUUGUUUACCAUUAAAUUUAUGUCCUGGAAGAUGUUGAUAAAACUACAAGAAGGAAAGUAUCCUUUUGCUAUGGUUUGAAUAGCAAACCAAAAUUUGUGUUGAAAUUUUAUCCCAAAUGUGGCAGAGAAUUAGUCCAUUCUCAUGCUGCUAAUAAGGACAUACCCAAGACUCGGUAAUUGAUAAAGGAAAGAUGUUUAAUUGACUCACAGUUCAGCAUGGUUGGGGAGGCCUCAGAAAACUUACAAUCAUGGUGGAAGGGGAACCAAACACGUCCUCCUUCACAUGGUGGCAAGAGAGACAAGUGCAGAGAAAAGGAGGGGAAAGCCCCUUAUAAAAUCAUCAACUCUCAUGAGAACUCACUCACUAUCAUCAGAACAGCAUGGAGGUAACCGCCCCCAUGAUUCAAUUACCUCCCACUAAGUCCUUCCCAUGACCCAUGGGGAUUAUAGGAUACCUGAGAACUUUGACAUGUUUCUGACAUGCCCUGAAAACAGCUGCCACAUUGCCUCAGUGAUUAACAUUCGGCUCCUCAUCACAUAUGCAAAUUUCAGCAGCCGGCUUGAAUUUCUCCCAAGAAAAUGGGUUUUUCUUUUCUGUCACAUAAUCAGGCUGCAAAUUUUCCAAACUUUUAUGCUCUGCUUCCUCUUGAACACCUUGCCACUUAGAAAUUGCUUCUGUCAGAUUCCCUAAAUCAUCUCUCUCAAGUUUAAAGUUUCACAGAUCUCUAGGGCAGGGGCAAAAUGCCGCCAGUCUCUUUGCAUAGCAAGAGUGACAUUUACUCCAGUUUCCAACAAGUUCCUCAUCUCCAUCUGAGACCACCUCAGCCUGGACUUUAUUGCCCAUAUCACUAUCAGCAUUUUAGUCAAAGCCAUUCGACAAGUCUCUAGGAAGUUCCAAACUUUCCCACUUCUUCCUGCCUUCUUAGCCCUCCAAGUCUCUAAGAGUUUCCAAACUUUCCCACAUUUUCCUGUCUUCUGAGCCCUCCAAAUGGUUUCAACCUCUGCCUGUUACCCAGUUCCAAAGUUACUUCCACAUUUUCAGGUACCUUUACAGCAGCGCCCCACUCUCUGUGGUACCAAUUUACUGUAUUAGUCCCUUCUCCCACCUCUAUAAGGACAUAUCUGAGACUGGGUAAUUUAUAAAGGAAGGAGGUUUAAUUGACUCACAGUUCCACAGGGCGGGGGAGGCCUCAAGAAACUUACAAUCAUGGUGGAAGGGGAAGCAAACACGUCCUUCUUCACAUGGCAGCAGGAGAUGUGCAGAGAGAAGUGGGGGAAAGCCCCUUCUAAAACCAUCAGAUCUCAUGAGAUCUCAUCAGAUCUCAUAAGAACUCACUCAAUAUCAUAAGAACAUGAUAUGGAGGUAACCGCUGCCAUGAUUCAAUUACCUCCCAUGGGGUUUUUUCCAUGACAUGCAGGGAUUAUGGGAGCUACAAUUCAGUAUGAGAUUUAGGUGCGGACACAGCCAAAACCAUAUCAGGCAGUAUUGAGAAGUGAAGCAUUUAAGAGGUGAUUGGGUCAUGAGGGCUCUGCCCUCAUGAAUGACUUAGUCUAUUCACAGAUUAAUGAAAUAGUGAGUUAUCAUUGGAAGGGAACUGUGGCUAUAUAGGAAAAGGAAGAAAAACCUAAGCUAGCAUGUUAGCGCACUCAGCCCCCUUGCCACGUGAUGCUCUGCACUGCCUCAGGACUCUGCAGCAUCCCCAUUAGCAAGAAAAUGUGGCAUAUAUACACCACGG